AUAUAUAUAGCUUAUAUAUAGAGCAUAAUAUUGAAGCUAUUAAGGAGANAUAUUUCUCUUUAUAUA
rnacentral:tRNA from 1 species